GUCUGUUUUUCUCAUACUUUAUGCAAUAGGUCUACUAUAUUUGUUGUAUGGAAUGAUUGUAAGGUGAACAUGUCUAGCGGACAGAUGUCAUCUGACCUUGACCUCAUUUUCAUGGUUCAGUGGUCAAAGUUAAGUUUUUCAGUUUUGGUCUUUUUAUCUGAUACUAUACGCCAUAGGUCAACUAUAUUUAGUGUAUGGAAAUAUUUUAUGAUUUAUAUAUUAGUCGCGCAGGUUUUAUUUGACCUUGACCUCAUUUUCACAGUUCAUUGCUCAGUGUUAAGUUUUUGUGUUUUGGUCUAUUUUUCUUAAACUAUAAGUAUUAGGUCAACUAUAUUUGUUUUAUG
rnacentral:lncRNA from 1 species